rnacentral:rRNA from 1 species
UACGUAGGGACCAAGCGUUGUUCGGAUUUACUGGGCGUAAAGGGCGCGUAGGCGGCGCGGUAAGUCACUUGUGAAAUCUCUGAGCUUAACUCAGAACGGCCAAGUGAUACUGCAGUGCUAGAGUGUGGAAGGGGCAAUCGGAAUUCUUGGUGUAGCGGUGAAAUGCGCAGAUAUCAGGAGGAACACCGGUGGCGAAGGCGGGUCUCUGGGCCGAUACUGACGCUGAGGAGCGAAAGCGUGGGGAGCAAACAGG